UACAGGGGGUGCAAACGUUGCUCGGAAUCAUUGGGCGUAAAGCGCACGUAGGCGGUUCGUUAUGUCAGAUGUGAAAGCCCUUGGCUCAACUGAGGAAGUGCAUCUGAAACUGGCGAGCUAGAGUAUGUAAGAGGGUCGCGGAAUUCCCGGUGUAGAGGUGAAAUUCGUAGAUAUCGGGAGGAACACCGGUGGCGAAGGCGGCGACCUGGGACAAUACUGACGCUGAGGUGCGAAAGCGUGGGGAGCAAACAGG
rnacentral:rRNA from 1 species